AGAACGAACGCUGGCGGCAUGCCUAACACAUGCAAGUCGAACGCUCACCGGGCUUCGGUUCGGUGGGAGUGGCGCACGGGUGAGUAGCGCGUGGGAACCUGCCCUGUUGUGAGGGAUAACCGAGGGAAACUUCGGCUAAUACCGCAUGCGCCCGGGGAAACCCGGGAAAGAUUUAUCGCAGCAGGAGGGGCCCGCGUCGGAUUAGGUAGUUGGUAGGGUAACGGCCUACCAAGCCUUUGAUCCGUAGCUGGUCUGAGAGGAUGAUCAGCCACACUGGGACUGAGACACGGCCCAGACUCCUACGGGAGGCAGCAGUGGGGAAUAUUGGACAAUGGGCGCAAGCCUGAUCCAGCAAUGCCGCGUGAGUGAUGAAGGCCUUAGGGUGUAAAGCUCUUUCGCCCGCGACGAUGAUGACGGUAGCGGGAGAAGAAGCCCCGGCUAACUUCGCGCCAGCAGCCGC
rnacentral:rRNA from 1 species